CACGUGGUUCGUGAUGAGGCGAUAAAUUGCGACUCAGUCUCGUUAACUGUCUCUUCCUUGUUGCGGUGAUGGAGGAUGAUGAAGCUGCGGCCCGGGGACCGAAACCAACCCGCUGAAGGCCUCGACUCACGGACUGAAGAAUCCAGCAUGGAUGGAUGUUUAUAAGGUGGUGAGAAUCCUACAGGAGCUUUGCUUUGUCUUCUCAGUUUAAGAUUUUACAGUUUAAAAGUACAACAUUCAACAUGAAAGCUUUGUUAUAGUGUUCACUGUUAUUAUCUAUGCAUAGGCCAUCUGUAAUGAAUUUCUAUUUGAGCUAUUUAGUGGAUGCUUUAUUAGUUACAUCUGUACAGUUGAUUUCAUUUCAAUAAAGCCACUUUGCUAUA